GAUGAACGCUGACAGAAUGCUUAACACAUGCAAGUCAACUUGAACUUCGGUUUGGGUGGCGGACGGGUGAGUAACGCGUAAAGAACUUGCCUCACAGCUAGGGACAACAUUUGGAAACGAAUGCUAAUACCUGAUAUUAUGAUUUUAGGGCAUCCUAGAAUUAUGAAAGCUAUAUGCGCUGUGAGAGAGCUUUGCGUCCCAUUAGCUAGUUGGAGAGGUAACGGCUCACCAAGGCGAUGAUGGGUAGCCGGCCUGAGAGGGUGAACGGCCACAAUGGGACUGAGACACGGCCCUUACGCCUACGGGAGGCAGCAGUGGGGAAUAUUGGACAAUGGACCAAGAGUCUGAUCCAGCAAUUCUGUGUGCACGAUGAAGUUUUUCGGAAUGUAAAGUGCUUUCAGUUGGGAAGAAAAAAAUGACGGUACCAACAGAAGAAGUGACGGCUAAAUACGUG
rnacentral:rRNA from 1 species